rnacentral:rRNA from 1 species
AACGAACGCUGGCGGCAGGCUUAACACAUGCAAGUCGAACGGGCGUAGCAAUACGUCAGUGGCAGACGGGUGAGUAACACGUGGGAAUAUCCCUUUCAGCUCGGAAUAACUCAGGGAAACUUGAGCUAAUACCGAAUACGUCCUUCGGGAGAAAGAUUUAUCACUGAGAGAUUAGCCCGCGUCUGAUUAGCUAGUUGGUGAGGUAAUGGCUCACCAAGGCGACGAUCAGUAGCUGGUCUGAGAGGAUGAUCAGCCACACUGGGACUGAGACACGGCCCAGACUCCUACGGGAGGCAGCAGUGGGGAAUAUUGGACAAUGGGGGCAACCCUGAUCCAGCCAUGCCGCGUGAGUGAUGAAGGCCUUAGGGUUGUAAAGCUCUUUUGCUAGGGAAGAUAAUGACUGUACCUAGAGAAUAAGCCCCGGCUAACUUCGUGCCAGCCGCCGCAGUAA